AGUUGAUCAGCAGAAAAAAUAAAUAGCAGAAAAUUAAAUGGCAGAAAAUUAAACGGCAGAAUAGUUAGUUGGCAGAAUAGUCAAAUGGCAGAACAGUCAAAUAGCAGAAUAGUCAAAUGGCAGAAUAAUUAAUUAGCAGAAGAGUUGAAUGGCAGAAUAGUUAAAUGGCAGAAUGUCAAAUGGCAGAAUAAUUAAUUAACAGGAGAGUUGAAUAGCAGAAUAGUCAAAUGGCAGAAUAAUUAAUUAGCAGAAGAGUUGCAGAAGAGUUGAAUGGGGGGGGGGGGGACUAUAAAAAAAUCUCAGAAAAUAACAAAUAAUUGUGCCUGCAUUUCUUAUAAGAGUUAAAACGUUUAUAAUUAUAGUACUUAGAAUUCUCACUUAUAUAUUACAUUUUUUUCCACGGACUUGAUUUAUUGCGGGUAUCAGGAUUAAUUAUCAUUCCGCUGCGAUUGUAUCCCGCCGUUGCGGAAAUCGCAGAGGUCCCUUAGUAGGCUCAAUUGUUGACAUGCUCGAUCAACAUGCUUGAUUUCAUAUCUGAAUAAGUCACGUGGCUGUAAAAAAUCUGAAAUAAGCAAAGCAUGCUCGGGAUGCCAUUCUUGGUUUUGGUACCUUGAAGUGACACGUGGUGGUUAAAUGCGUUGCGCUGAUCAAAGUGCGCUUUAUCCCAAGUAACCAUCCAGCACUAAAACAAAAACUUAAUCAGCAAUACUUUAGCACUCUAGUGCAUGUUAGUCAUGCACCGGCACGUGUUAAUGCAGAUCAGCACUAAGAUUGUAGCACUCAGUAUUGCUGACUAAGUGCUGCUUAAGUGCCGGUGCUGGCAACUGUGUUCAUCAUUUUUCUCAAAACUGGCAACAAGGUCUUGCCCACGUAGGAAGAGGGAGUGAGAUAGCAUGUCUUCAUGCAGAACUAUCAUCAUUUGCUCACUUCAUUUAUUUGGGUUUGCUGGCUUUAAAAAAUAAUAAAACUUCUUGCUGGUUACUCAACUUACUUCCUGGCUUGGAUCUGGAUAUGAAAAAGAUCGUACAGUAUAUUCAGCGAUGGAAAUUAGCAUAUUUUUCCGGGAGACCUGACGACGUCAAUGUUGAAAUCCGUUUUCAAAAGAACCAGCCGGUGCAGUUGACAUGCAGGCUAGGACGUGCCAAGAAAGCCAUCAUUGGAAAACAAAAUCAACUUCAAGGAACCUCUGAUAUAAAUGUGUGUUGACGGCUAUAAUUUCCGGAAACUUCCCGUAAUUUUCCCCAUGGGUUUGUUUUAAGUGUUUGUAAUUUCUUGCGUGUUUUUCUUUUGUGUAAAAUAAAAAUAUGAUUUUUUUUAUGAA